rnacentral:lncRNA from 1 species
CGUAAAAGUAGUAGCUAUAUUUGAAAAUUCUAGCUCGAAAACUAACUACUAAUUUUAUCUAGUGAAGUUAUUCAUACAUUGCAACGGACUAGUACUAUAAAAAAUAAAGAAUUGAUAAAAUAAAAAAUUUUAAAAUUUUUUGACUUAUCGUAAGAUAUCAAUAAAUACAAAUAGUAUAAAAAAAAGUAUGAAGAUAUUUUAUUUUAUUUUUUGUGCAAUUAAUUUGUUUAUAUGAUAAUAAAUCAUAUGAACAGAUUAAUUAGAAAGUGGGCUAAUAGGAAGACAAAGUAUUAGAUAGAAAUGGUAUGGGAAAGACGAAGCAUCAGAAAAUAAAAAGGAAGAGAAAAUUAUAUGAGUGAAUAAUUUAAGUAAAAAAUAGAAAAUAAAAAGUAUAGAUAGAUUAUAAUAAUUUAAGUAAAAAAUAGAAAAUAAAAAGGUGUCAAUUAAUUAAUAAAUUAAAAACAAGUGGGGCAUGGAGCUGAGGGACACUUGGGAAUUACGUCCCCUUCCACGUGAGAAAAAUAUCUUUCGUUAUCGUGGACGACUUCUAUUGGAAAUAAGCUAAGCCGUUGCCGACUCUCAUAAGAGCAUCCACAAUUAUUGUUUUUGGAUUGAAUCCAUGUAAGUGAAUAGUGACAUAAAUAUGUGGAUAGAGUGGUAGAUUGGGUUUUGUUGGAAGCAUUCUCAAAAUCACACUUUUCACUUGAUGAGAAAUUGAGAGGUGGGUGGCAGAUGAGAGACAAUAAUAACUAUCUUUACAAAUGAACAAAUCUGAACGCAUAAAUAGUUCCAUCAAAUUUAUAAUUAUAAUUUUGGUUCUAUCUACCGACCGUCCUUAGAGCACGUGGCAAAGGGCUUGGUGGUUCGUAUCUGAGGUCCCAAGUUCGAAUCCUAAUUGAUUCACAUUUCAAGCUAAGUUUAUUUCUAAAGCAAAUAAACGAAGUGGAUAACGUGCUAUCUAUUUCUCAAAAAAAAAAAAAAAUCUAUUUUCGCCACGCAGACACCACAUCAGAGCCACACAAGCUGGCUGAAAAGGAGCGUUAAGUUGAAUAUGGUGAACCAUUCACCGUGUUCAAACACGGUGAAUAAUUCACCGUGUUUCAUACUUAUAUUCUCCAUAUUCAAUAUUUAUAUUUUUUUGCAAUACAUAUAUUUUUCUUAGAUACGGUGAAUCAUUCACCAUGUUUAACUCACGGUGAAUGAAUUAUCAUGUUCAACUUAUUUCAGCACCUCUAUCCUUACUCAAACGAUACUUAUGUGACGCUUGCGUGACGGGGAUAGGGCCAAAAUUGUAAUUAUAAAUUUGAUGAGGUUAUUUGAGAAAAUAUUUUUUUUGAAGGGUCAAAUGCAAAAAAGCUCUUUUUUAGGUGUUUUCUGAAUUAUUAAAUAUACAUAUUAAAAAUACUACUUUUUGAUAGUUUAAAUUUUUGAGAAUAAUGUUGUUUCACAUUAUUUAAUAUAAUAUUAUAGCAUAAUGUCAUGAGUUUGAGUUUCAUCAGCCUUAUGACUUUAUUUAAUUUCUAUCGUUUAGUUUAAAUUCAUGUUUUGGGCCUAUCAAAAAAUUUUAAACCCAAAUAUGAGACACUGUGUUAAAUAUAAAUUUUUAAAACACUAUUCUUUGAAAGCUUAAUAUUUAAAUAAUAAUCAGUGUUUCACAUAAUGUAAUAUGAAUAUAUACCGCUCAACUCCAGCAAAAAACACACUCACAAAUUUUUCCAUGAAGACUCCAUCUUAACUAUACAUCACGCUUCAAAUAAAAUCUCUAAAUAAUCAUAUUGUAAU